rnacentral:rRNA from 1 species
UACGUAAGGUCCGAGCGUUGUCCGGAAUCAUUGGGCGUAAAGGGUACGUAGGCGGAUAAGCAAGUUAGAAGUGAAAUCCUAUAGCUCAACUAUAGUAAGCUUUUAAAACUGCUUAUCUUGAGGUAUGGAAGGGAAAGUGGAAUUCCUAGUGUAGCGGUAAAAUGCGUAGAUAUUAGGAGGAACACCAGUGGCGAAGGCGGCUUUCUGGAUAUUAUCUGACGCUGAGGUACGAAAGCGUGGGUAGCAAACAGG